rnacentral:rRNA from 1 species
CACAGCCCCGCAAGGGGUGGGUGGCGAGUGGCGGACGGGUGAGGAAUACAUCGGAAUCUGCCCUGUUGUGGGGGAUAACCCAUCGAAAGGUGGGCUAAUACCGCAUGAGACGGUGACGUGAAAGCGGGGGACCAGUAAUGGCCUCGCGCGACGGGAUGAGCCGAUGUCGGAUUAGCUAGUUGGUAGGGUAAAGGCCUACCAAGGCGACGAUCCGUAGCUGGUCUGAGAGGAUGAUCAGCCACACUGGGACUGAGACACGGCCCAGACUCCUACGGGAGGCAGCAGUGGGGAAUAUUGGACAAUGGGCGCAAGCCUGAUCCAGCAAUGCCGCGUGUGUGAAGAAGGCCUUCGGG